rnacentral:rRNA from 1 species
AACGAACGUUGGCGGCGUGGAUUAGGCAUGCAAGUCGUACGAGUUUCAUCUGGGGAACUGGUUGUAACAAGUGGCGGAAGGGGCGGUAAGGCAUGGCUGAUCUACCCUGAUGACCGGGAUAGCUGUCCCAACGGGCAGGAAAUACCGCAUGAUCUCGUGGGGCCGCAUGGUUCUGCCAGGUAAGGCGCAAGCCGUGUCGGGAGGAAUCAAUGUGGUAUUAGCUUGUUGGUGAGGUAAAGGCUCACCAAGGCGAAGAGGCCUACCGGGUGCAAGGGCACGACCAGCGCCACCGGCACUGAGACGCUGGCCGGACUCCGACGGGAGGCUGCAUUGGAGGAUGUUCGACAAUGGGCGAAAGCCUGACCGAGCAAGGCCGCGUGGUUGAAGAAGGCCAUUAGGUGGUAGGGCUGUGGCGAGGGUGAACAAGCCGCAAGGUGGAGUUAUCCCUAGAGGAAGCACGGGCUAAGUUCGUG